GACGAACGCUGGCGGCGCGCCUAACACAUGCAAGUCGAACGAGCGAGAGAGAGCUUGCUUUCUCGAGCGAGUGGCGAACGGGUGAGUAACGCGUGAGGAACCUGCCUCAAAGAGGGGGACAACAGUUGGAAACGACUGCUAAUACCGCAUAAGCCCACGGGUCGGCAUCGACCAGAGGGAAAAGGAGCAAUCCGCUUUGAGAUGGCCUCGCGUCCGAUUAGCUAGUUGGUGAGGUAACGGCCCACCAAGGCAACGAUCGGUAGCCGGACUGAGAGGUUGAACGGCCACAUUGGGACUGAGACACGGCCCAGACUCCUACGGGAGGCAGCAGUGGGGAAUAUUGCACAAUGGGGGAAACCCUGAUGCAGCGACGCCGCGUGGAGGAAGAAGGUCUUCGGAUUGUAAACUCCUGUUGUUGAGGAAGAUAAUGACGGUACUCAACAAGGAAGUGACGGCUAACUACGUGCCAGCAGCCGCGGUAAAACGUAGGUCACAAGCGUUGUCCGGAAUUACUGGGUGUAAAGGGAGCGCAGGCGGGAAGACAAGUUGGAAGUGAAAUCCAUGGGCUCAACCCAUGAACUGCUUUCAAAACUGUUUUUCUUGAGUAGUGCAGAGGUAGGCGGAAUUCCCGGUGUAGCGGUGGAAUGCGUAGAUAUCGGGAGGAACACCAGUGGCGAAGGCGGCCUACUGGGCACCAACUGACGCUGAGGCUCGAAAGUGUGGGUAGCAAACAGGAUUAGAUACCCUGGUAGUCCACACCGUAAACGAUGAUUACUAGGUGUUGGAGGAUUGACCCCUUCAGUGCCGCAGUUAACACAAUAAGUAAUCCACCUGGGGAGUACGACCGCAAGGUUGAAACUCAAAGGAAUUGACGGGGGCCCGCACAAGCAGUGGAGUAUGUGGUUUAAUUCGACGCAACGCGAAGAACCUUACCAAGUCUUGACAUCCCUUGACGAUGCUGGAAACAGUAUUUCUCUUCGGAGCAAGGAGACAGGUGGUGCAUGGUUGUCGUCAGCUCGUGUCGUGAGAUGUUGGGUUAAGUCCCGCAACGAGCGCAACCCUUAUGGUCAGUUACUACGCAAGAGGACUCUGGCCAGACUGCCGUUGACAAAACGGAGGAAGGUGGGGAUGACGUCAAAUCAUCAUGCCCUUUAUGACUUGGGCUACACACGUACUACAAUGGCGUUAAACAAAGAGAAGCAAGACCGCGAGGUGGAGCAAAACUCAGAAACAACGUCCCAGUUCGGACUGCAGGCUGCAACUCGCCUGCACGAAGUCGGAAUUGCUAGUAAUCGUGGAUCAGCAUGCCACGGUGAAUACGUUCCCGGGCCUUGCACU
rnacentral:rRNA from 1 species